CUAAGGAUGGUUCUUCAGAAGCUUGCUUCUAUCGAACCGUUUUAGAAACAUCAGUGGCCAACGGUCGUCAGGAUCGUUGAGCUGCAUUGGCGGGAUUUCGCCGUCUUCGUUUCUCUUUCUUCGCGGACGAACACGCGCUGGGGCUGCAACCUUGCAGAAUCCCUGGUCCUUGACUGGAUAUGCGUUAGGGGCUUGUAGCUCAGUUGGUUAGAGCGCGCGCUUGAUAAGCGUGAGGUCGGAAGUUCAAGUCUUCCCAGGCCCACCACACUCAUCGAGUGAGCAUUCGUCUUCUGGUUACGGGGCCAUAGCUCAGCUGGGAGAGCGCGUGCUUUGCAAGCAUGAGGUCGUCGGUUCGAUCCCGUCUGGCUCCACCAGAUGGUUUGAUCACCGGCUGCUCAUACCGUCGUCCGCGAAACAUCACUUCGCACUUACUAGUCCGGAUGGACAGUAAGCUGCGUGAUUUCUGACAUCGUAAAGAGGAGAUCGAUCCGAGUUGGAUCGGGCAACAAGUAAUUGUUGCGCGAUACUUCAUUAUCUCCGGAUCAUUUCGGCGCUCGUGCGUGUUCCAUUGUAGCUCACAAGGCUGCUUUGAAAGACAAGCGAGUUGUAAAUGAUCCUUUUAGCGAAGCUUGACCGCCUCGCUAUCGGAACGAUCUUACGAAGCAAGCUGGUCUUUCUAAUCAUUGUCCGGCUGCAGAUAGCGUUCAUCGAGGGCGCGUGCCGCAAGGUAGUUCUGCAGACAACAUUCUGCCGAGUGUGUGGACAUUGAUAAUGAGAGC
rnacentral:tRNA from 1 species